GACGAACGCUGGCGGCGUGCUUAACACAUGCAAGUCGAACGGAAAGGCCCUGCUUUUGUGGGGUGCUCGAGUGGCGAACGGGUGAGUAACACGUGAGUAACCUGCCCUUGACUUUGGGAUAACUUCAGGAAACUGGGGCUAAUACCGGAUAGGAGCUCCUGCUGCAUGGUGGGGGUUGGAAAGUUUCGGCGGUUGGGGAUGGACUCGCGGCUUAUCAGCUUGUUGGUGGGGUAGUGGCUACCAAGGCUUUGAAGGGUAGCCGGCCUUAGAGGGCGACCGGGCACCUUGGGCCUGCGAUACGGCCCAGACUCCUACGGGAGGCAGCAGUGGGGAAUAUUGCACAAUGGGCGGAAGCCUGAUGCAGCAACGCCGCGUGCGGGAUGACGGCCUUCGGGUUGUAAACCGCUUUCGCCUGUGACGAAGCGUGAGUGACGGUAAUGGGUAAAGAAGCACCGGCUAACUACGUG
rnacentral:rRNA from 1 species